AUGGGCCCAGGGGGGCUGGAAGGAGCACCAGCUGAGACACACGAGGUGUGUGGCCCCCGAGGCUGGGGUCCAGGGGCCUCCAUGUCAAAGUCCCCAUUGCGCCAAAACCACAGAGCAGCCCAAGAUGACCGGAGUCUGCUCCAGACUCUCCAAGGCCGACAUUCAAUCCCAGGGAUCCCGGCCUGGCUCAGGGCCCGCGGGCUCCAGGACACUCGGAAGUGCCGCGUCUCUUCUGGCCGCGGUGCCCGGCGGGGCUGGAGGAUGUACGGGUUCCCCGGGGGACUCAAAAGGAAACUCACGGCAGGUCAGCCCUUUCAGUUUGAAGAUGCGUGGGAAAAAUCUGGCGAGAAGAGCUUGCCACCCACACAGAGUGGUGAAACCUGUCACCCAAGAGCUCCAGGAAGAAGCAGGAGUUUGGCGCUGAUGGAUGUGGGAUGGGGGAGGCGGAUCGGACAUGGGCUCCUCACCGGGCCAUACUCGGAAUUCAGAAGGUCCGGGAACCUGGACACGGAGGAAACGGCCUCUUUCCCCUGACUCCGAACUAAAAGUUAGAUCUUCCCUCCACGAUGAAGCUAAACAACGUGUCACACGAGUGUGUGUCAGCAAGCGCUGUGACCUCGUCGCCAGGGAAAUGACAGGUAUUUUCAUAUUUACAGACCCUCAACGCACCAUCUCCGCUCCGAAACGAAGGUUGUCAUUAGGCCGUCUGGUUGAUUCUACUUAAUGCAUUAAUAACAAUAAAAAAAAAGACACAGAUGUUACUAGUUCAUAAAUUUGUUCUAAUUUUUAGAAGAUUGUAUUUCAACCAAGGUUUUCUUUGGAACCUUAUAUAUUUUAUUUUAUUCAUUUUUAAAACAUUCUAGGGGCGCCUGGGUGGCUCAGUCGGUUGAGCAUCUGGCUUCGGCUCAGGUCAUGAUCUCACAGUUCGUGGGUUCGAGCCCCUAGUCUGGCUCUGUGCUGACAGCUCAGGGCCUGGAGCCUGCUUCAGAUUCUGUGUCUCCCUCUCUCACUGACCCUCUCCUGCUCAUGCUGUCUCUCUCUCUCUCAAAAAUAAAUAAAACAUUAAAAAAAAAUUUAAAAAACACUCCAAGCAGAGGGCGGUAGGCUUUGUAGGAUUGCCAUAGGAGAAUGGCAGGCAAAAAAAAAAAAAAAAACAGAAAGAAGGUUAAGGAACUUUGGCUUCUGCCAGGUCUUUAUGAAAAAGAAGAGACAGAUCAGCUCACUGCUCCACGGGUUUAUUAACAACAGUGUCAGCAAAUACAAUUAAUCUAACAGACUCUUGCCAGACAUCGGCCCAAGACCCAGGGGAGCUGUUCGGUCUGAACCACUUACGGGCUUGUUUCUCUGGCUGCACUGGGCUGCGUUGGCCAUGGGAGUGGUUUUCUCUAAACCAUUUUUAUUUUGCCGGAAUGUAGAUCAUCCAGUGAUUUAAAAACAACAACAAAAAACCUGUUUCAUGAACCACGAUUUGCAAUGGCAGCCCUUGACCUUCAGACCCUGUAUCAUCCUCUGCACAAAGGGCUAUCUCGGUUAUUUACAGUCACAAUAAUACUGCGAAACAAGCAACCUCAAAACCAGCGGCUUAAACCCUAAGCACCUAUUUAGCCCCCCAGACCCGCAGGCGGACGUGGGCGUUCUCGUGAGCUGACGCACGCUGGUCCCCAGGCGUCCGCCCCAGCCGGCCGUGCGUCACCUGAGCUCCUUCCUGUCUGCCGGCUGGCUGGCUGCCCGCUGGUCGUGGCUGGGCUCACCCCCACGCCUGUGGUCGGUUGGUCAGAGGGGGGGCCGGCCUCCUUGCGAUGGCCUUGGCCAGGGGACAGCCCUGCUCCUCAGGGUCUCCCAUCCCCCCCAGCAUGGCCAGACUUGUUCAGCGGAGCGCUGGGCGGGUUUCCAGAACAACGAAGGCCAGCACAGAGCCUCAUGUGCCCUCUCAGAACUUGGCACAACAUCACUUCAACCGUAUUCUGUUGGCCCAGAGCAAGUGUCAAGGUCAGCCCAGAUAUGAGGUGUCAGAAGAGAGACCACCCAGGACAGGAGCACUACCAGGUGGCUCCCUCCAGUCUUUCCUCCUUUGGGUAAACGUUUGCUGUCUCCUCCCCACAAGGCCGUCCAGGUACACGAUGGCGCACACGAGACCCUCCAAGGGCUCGCCGUCUGUGACCGCAAAGCAAGGACCAUGGCGUCAGAGUAGGCGGCCGGAAGGAGCCACAGCCGCAGCGCAGAAGCCCACCAGGCAUGCUUCUGGAUGAGGGCGCUAGACCCUCCACAGCAGGUGCCCUUAGAAAUGGGAAAGGGGGGUGUUGCCAGCAGAGCCACGGGUUUGCUUUUCUCAUUAUACCCUUCUCUAUUCCACAGAAUUAUUUUCAUGACACGCCAGUAUAACUUUAAAAUUUUUUAAACCAAUUUCUCAUUUUUAAUUUUUUAAGUUUAUCUAUUUUGAGAGAGAAAGAAGAGCAGGGGAGGGGCAGAGAGAAGAGAGAGGGAAUCCCAACCAGGCUCCAUCCACACUGUCCACACAGAGCUCGAACUCACGAACCCAAGAUCAUGACCUGAGCCAAAAUCGAGAGUCGGACACUUAACUGACUGGGCACCCAGGCGCCCCUGAAAACUAAUUUCUAAAAAGAGCAAAUUCACAUCAGCUCAUGACUAUACUCAAUUUCCCAAUAAACAACCAAAUGCCCAGGUCCCUUGAGCUCAAAUCAUAACAAAGUUAACAUCUCUCCACAUUCACCCAAAGGGUCACCUACUCAACUGUAAGUGUGAAGCCAGGAAGGGAGGGCCUGGGAGGAAGCCAAAGCCUGGGCAGGAUUCCCCUUCCCCUGCCUGAGGACCAGCCCACCCUCCUGACUCAGGGCCUGUGCGGGAGCAGAGCCGCGCCUGGAUUCCAUGGUGUGAAGGGGCCACCGGAACUAAAUGUGCUUGACCUCCAACCGGGGAGGAAGUGUAACAGAGCAUCUCAGAGGUCAGAUUCGAGUAUCAGAAAACCAUGACUGGAUUCCUGGUGCCUCUACCUACUAGCUGGCUUGAGGCAAGUGACUGAGUCACUCUGUGGAGUGAACAC
ensembl:lncRNA